CGCCCGUCGCUCCUACCGAUUGGGUGUGCUGGUGAAGCGUUCGGAUUGGCGACAGUUGGUGGUUUCCGCCGGCUGUUGCUGAGAAGUUCGUUAAACCCUCCCACCUAGAGGAAGGAGAAGUCGUAACAAGGUUUCC
rnacentral:rRNA from 1 species